GAAAUGCAAUGAUCAACUAUGUGGAGGAGAUAUGUGAGAAAUGCCUUAGCAGAUGAUGAAGAAAGAGAUCAAAAGGCUCCGAGAAGCAGGAAUGCUACGGUGGAUAUGCAGUCAGCUCUCUGUAUCUGUGGGUUCAUUCAACCUCGGACUGAAAAUAUUCAGCAUUUGGGAAAAAAGUGGCAUCCCAUACUCAACAGGAUGUGAAUUGUCCCUUUGUCCAGUGGAUACACACUGUCAACACUUCCCUCCAGUUAGCCACUUCACCAUCUCGGUGAUCAGAUGGACUGUCGAGGUAUCGCAGUGCUUGUGUUCAAGGCACCCUCAUUUUACCUAAUAAUGGCCCCAAAGCACAAGAGUGGUGAUGCUGGUGAUUCAAAUAUGCCAAAGGGAAGCCGUAAAGUGCUUCCUUUAAGUGAAAAGAACCAGGGGUCCUGAUAAUUGACAGUGGAUCUCCAUGAAGUCAAGUAAUUACUUAAUAUAUCUAUUACCACUACCAAAUGUCCAACCUGCCAGCAACAGAAACCAACACUGAGCUCUUCAACAAACACAGUCCCCAGAGGAGACUAACCAGCCACUUGCUAGCAACUUGAUCACAUCAGAUUCCUUUCAAUCUGGAAAUGGCAGUAAUUGAUUUUGACUGGAAUUGACACAUAUUCCAGAGAUGGCUUUACCUUUCCUACCCACAGGGACUCAGGCAGCAUGACCACCUGUAAGCUUAUAGAUUAUAUGAUAAACUGACAUGGAAUCCUGCAUAACGUGACUGUGGACCACUGGCCCCAUUUUAUAGCAAAAGAAGGACAACAAUGGACAUAUGAUGAUAGGAUAACACCAUCCAGAAACUGCCUAUCUACUAGAGGUUUUUGACAGCACAGCUAAAGUGCCAGCCUGCAGGUGAUACUGUGUCCGGAAUUGGUGGGUUCUUGGUCUCACUGACUUCAAGAAUGAAGCCGCGGACCCUCACGGUCUUCAGGUAGCUGGGUAAGAAGCGGCAAGGCAAACAAAGGGUCCUGGUAAUUGAAAACAACUGAUGAGUCAAACCUAAGCAUUCGGCAUUGGGAGCACUGUCACUAAAACUGCAGCCUCAUUCAACAACACAUCCUUAUCGAGCACUUGCAGGUACUCCAUUGAAUGUUAGAAAUGCAUUGAUGAUGGAGACACAGCACCGGCUCAUGAGGACCUUCCAGCCUAGGCAGCAGGACUGGACAUACGCACUUUGGUAGAUUUAUUUUUAGAAAUUGGCUUAUGCAAGUGUGGGGCUGGCAAGUCUAACAACUGCAGGGCAGGUCAGGAGGCUGGAGACCCAGGGAAGAGUUGAUGCUGCAGUCUCUAGUCUGAAGGCAGUGCAGAGGCAGAAUUCCCUCUUUCUCGGAGGAUCUCAGGCUUUUUCUCCUAAGUCCUUCAACCAAGUGGAUGAGGCCACCCGCAUUAGAGAAGGAUGUGGAAGUCAGCUGCCUGGGAAUAGUCUGAGGAAAGAGAACCAAGUGAAGAUAACUUAUCCAUAGAGGCACUGACCCCGGAGAUUCACCUUAUUACACCUGGGGGAAAGCUAGCUGAUAUGUUAUGAGGACAUUUGAGCAGCCCCAUGGAGAAGUCCACGUGGAAGGAACUGAGGCCUCUUGCUACCGUUAUGUGAGUGAGCCAUCUUGGAAGCAGAUCCUCCAGCCUGGUUGAUCCUUUGGAUGACUGCAGCCCCAGGUGCCAUCUUGACUACAACAUCAGGAAAGAUUCCAAAUUAGACUCCCCCAUCCCAGGCCUGGCCCAGAGAAAGAGAUGAAAGCUGACACGCAGCUCUCAGAAUCACCCUUGCUAUCAGGUUUGGCUUCUGGAGCUGAUGGGAAUCUGAGAGACGUCAGGGUAGAAGCCGCCUGUCUUGGUGAGCUUCCCGUGCUCAUCUGGCUUUGGGAAAGACUCUCAGCCUCAUUUGCUUAUCCUCCAUCACGGACCAAGCACUUGGUUUGGGAAUAAGGGGCCCUUGGCACUUACUGUUGUGUUCUUGGCCUUUGGGGCCUUGGCCAAGAGUCAGGUGGAAAGAGUUCCACCCUAACAUCUUCUCCUAUGCUUCCUCCCAGAGCAGGGGAUGGGAAAGUAUGGGGAGAAAAAGGCUCCUUAGGGAAUUACUUCAUGUUAAAAAAUAUUUACUAGGCACUUAACACGUACGCAGAAAUUUACCAGUGGCUGAAGUGGGUAAUAGGGAUGUAUCAAUUAACUAAUAAACUAAUUAAUUAG
rnacentral:lncRNA from 1 species